CCUACGGUAUGCAGCAGUGGGGAAUAUUGGGCAAUGGGCGCAAGCCUGACCCAGCACCGCCGCGUGAAGGAAGAAGGCUUUCGGGUUGUAAACUUCUUUUCUGAGGGACGAAGAAUGGGACGGUACCUCAGGAAUAAGCCACGGCUAACUACUUGCCAGCAGCCGCGGGAAUACGUAGGUGGCCAGCGUUAUCCGGCUUUAUUGGGUGUAAAGGGCGUGUAGUCGGGAAAGCAAGGCAGAUGUGAAAACUCAGGGAUCAACCCUGAGCCUGCAUUUGAAACUGUUUUUCUUGAGUGCUGGAGAGGCAAUCGGAAUGCCGGGUGUAGCGGUGAAAUGCGUAGAUAUACGGAGGAACACCAGUGGCGAAGGCGGAUUGCUGGACAGUAACUGACGCUGAGGCGCGAAAGCGUGGGGAGCAAACAGGAUUAGAUACCCCAGUAGUC
rnacentral:rRNA from 1 species